AUGUACCAAGCGUACACCCCGGUCCCUCCGCGACGUCCGCACCUUAGCUGACGACUAGUUGCUCCGUUUUGUUGGCC
rnacentral:sRNA from 1 species